UGCGUAGGCGGCUUGGUAAGUCACGUGUGAAAGGCCGGGGCUCAACCCCGGAUCUGCAUGUGAGACUGCCUGGCUCGAGCACGGUAGAGGCGGGCGGAAUUCCUGGUGUAGCGGUGGAAUGCGUAGAUAUCAGGAAGAACACCGGUGGCGAAGGCGGCUCGCUGGGCCGUUGCUGACGCUGAGGCACGAAAGCGUGGGGAGCAAACAGGAUUAGAUACCCUGGUAGUCCACGCCCUAAACGAUGGACACUAGGCGUCGGGGGGAGCGACCCUCCCGGUGCCGUCGCUAACGCAAUAAGUGUCCCGCCUGGGGAGUACGGCCGCAAGGCUGAA
rnacentral:rRNA from 1 species